UCUUGUCGAGGUAACAAGUACAAAAUUCCAAAAAAAACUACAAAUAUUUUCGGUCUAUUUUCGGUGAACAUCUUUUUUAAAAAAUAUAUUUUGAUAUUUGUUUCGUUACUCGUUUUGUUAAUUGUUUUGUUAAGAGUUCUUAUUAGGCUUAAGCAUAAAGUGUUAUAGAGAAAUGUGGGCGGCCUCACGUUUUACUGUACUGAUGUCACACUUAACGCACACUUGACGUACACUUGAAUUACACGGUGUUGAAUGCAAAUACUCUAAUGGGAAGAACUACCAUGAAAGCAAAGAAAUCUACACUGAACUAACUAGGAACCCUCAAGCAGGCCGGUCAUAUGAACUUCCCAGAUGCGCUACACAUACAUAAACAGACUUGGACAACAAAGGCAUACGAAAAAUCUGAAGUUAAAAAUUUGCUGUAUCCAAAAUUCCCCGUAACCCCGAUAUCGUGUGAGAAUGGAAGAGUUCUCAACGAAGACUUGCUUUGGAUUGUGCAGUGCAAUGCAGCUGAAUUCUCACUCUUUGAUCGAUGGAUUCGGAAUUGGCAGUGACGAUCGUUUGAAGGCCGGAGAUGACCCAUUAGGAGGAGAUGGCCAUCUCUCCGGCCCACUAAAGAUUGGGAAUAUACGGAAGUGAACUACCUAGCUGCACCACCGCAAGAACCAACCACCCAGUCGCUCCAUUCGUCCUUGUCCGGCACUAUUAUAUAGUAAACUUUAUGGCCAACUAUUUGGAAAAAGACACUAACAAAAAUAC